rnacentral:rRNA from 1 species
AGCAGCCGCGGUAAUUCCAGCUCCAAUAGCGUAUAUUAAAGUUGUUGCAGUUAAAAAGCUCGUAGUUGAAUUUCGGGAUCAAUACGUCGGUCGUGCUUUCGGGUACGUACUGGCGUCAUUGGUUUCUCCUUUCUGACGAACCAUGAUGUCAUUAAUUUGGUGUUAUGGGGAGUUAGGACUGUUACUUUGAAAAAUUAGAGUGUUUAAAGCAGGCAUUAGCUUGAAUACAUUAGCAUGGAAUAAUGAAAUAGGACGUUCGAUCCUAUUUUGUUGGUUUCUAGGAUCAACGUAAUGAUUAAUAGGGAUAGUUGGGGGCAUUAGUAUUCAAUUGUCAGAGGUGAAAUUCUUGGAUUUAUUGAAGACUAACUACUGCGAAAGCAUUUGCCAAGGAUGUUUUCAUUAAUCAAGAACGAAAGUUAGGGGAUCGAAGACGAUCAGAUACCGUCGUAGUCUUAACCAUAAACUAUGCCGACUAGGGAUCGGAUGAUGUUAAUUUUUAAUGACUCAUUCGGUCGCCUUA